rnacentral:rRNA from 1 species
AACGAACGCUGGCGGCAGGCUUAACACACGCAAGUCGAACGCAUCCUUCGGGGUGAGUGGCAGACGGGUGAGUAACGCGUGGGGAUGUGCCUUGAGGUGGGGAAUAACUGUGGGAAACUACAGCUGAUACCGCAUACGCCCUUCGGGGGAAAGAUUUAUCGCCUUUAGAGCAACCCGCGUCAGAUUAGCUAGUUUGUAGGGUAAUGGCCUGCCAAAGCGACGAUCUGUAGCUGGUCUGAGAGGAUGACCAGCCAC